UACGUAGGUGGCAAGCGUUGUCCGGAUUUAUUGGGUUUAAAGGGUGCGUAGGCGGCCCCGUAAGUCAGUGCUGAAAUAUCCCGGCUUAACCGGGAGGGUGGCAUUGAUACUGCGAGGCUUGAGUAAAGUUGAGGUAGGCGGAAUUGACGGUGUAGCGGUGAAAUGCUUAGAUAUCGUCAAGAACACCGAUAGUGUAGACAGCUUACUAAGCUUUAACUGACGCUGAGGCACGAAAGUGAGGGGAUCAAACAGG
rnacentral:rRNA from 1 species